AUUACCUCAGUAACGGCGAGUGAAGCGGUAACAGCUCAAAUUUGAAAGCUAGCUCUUCUAGGGUUCGCGUUGUAAUUUGCAGAAGAUGUUUCGGGUGUGGCCCCGGUCUAAGUUCCUUGGAACAGGACGUCAUAGAGGGUGAGAAUCCCGUAUGUGACUGGGUGCUUUCGCUCAUGUGAAACUCUUUCGACGAGUCGAGUUGUUUGGGAAUGCAGCUCAAAAUGGGUGGUAUAUUUCAUCUAAAGCUAAAUAUUGGCCAGAGACCGAUAGCGCACAAGUAGAGUGAUCGAAAGAUGAAAAGCACUUUGGAAAGAGAGUUAAACAGUACGUGAAAUUGUUGAAAGGGAAGCGCUUGCAACCAGACUUGCGCGCUGAUGAUCAUCCGGGCUUCUGUCCGGUGCACUCGUCAGCGCUCAGGCCAGCAUCGGUUUCGGUGGUGGGAUAAAGGCCUUGGGAAUGUAGCUCCUCUCGGGGAGUGUUAUAGCCCUCGGUGCAAUGCCGCCUACCGGGACCGAGGACCGCGCUUCGGCUAGGAUGCUGGCGUAAUGGUUGUAAGCGACCCGUCUUGAAACACGGACCAAGGAGUCUAACAUCUAUGCGAGUGUUUGGGUGUCAAACCCAUACGCGUAAUGAAAGUGAACGGAGGUGAGAACCCUUAAGGGUGCAUCAUCGACCGAUCCUGAUGUCUUCGGAUGGAUUUGAGUAAGAGCAUAGCUGUUGGGACCCGAAAGAUGGUGAACUAUGCGUGAAUAGGGUGAAGCCAGAGGAAACUCUGGUGGAGGCUCGCAGCGGUUCUGACGUGCAAAUCGAUCGUCAAAUUUGCGUAUAGGGGCGAAAGACUAAUCGAACCAUUGGGACACUACUAGGUGGUUGAGAGGCUGCUGAGAGGCACGCCUAGUCCUGUAUCUACAGGGCAACACUAUCAAAUUGUUCGGGGACGUCCUGUCAAAUCUCAAGCUACCGCAGCCGACCCGAAAGGGCGGUGCGCACCGGGUUAACGACCCUGGGGAUGGUAAGAACGCUUGGGUGGGGAUUAUCCGCAGCCAACCUCUAAGGGGCAUCGCCCUACGAGACAGGUCCACAGACUUAACGAUAGUGGGCUCCGACGGAGCUUAAGAUAAAGUCGAACCCCCGGAGAUCGGG
rnacentral:rRNA from 1 species